AAUUUUGGACAAUGGGCGCAAGCCUGAUCCAGCCAUGCCGCGUGAGUGAAGAAGGCCUUCGGGUUGUAACGCUCUUUCGGAUGGAAAGAAAUCGCGCAGGCUAAUACCUUGCGCGGACGACGGUUCGCUCAUCAGAAGCAGCGGCUCACUACGUUCCAGCCGCCGCCGUAAGACGUAGGGUGCGAGCGUUAAUCGGAAUUACUGGGCUUAAAGCGUGCGCAGGCGGUGGAUUAAGACAGGCGUGAAAGCCCCGGGCUUAACCUGGGAACUGCGCUUGUGGCUGGUAAGCUAGAGUACGGCAGAGGGGGGUGGAAUUCCACGUGUAGCAGUGAAAUGAGUAGAGAUGUGGAGGAACACCGAUGGCGAAGGCAGCCCCCUGGGCCGAUACUGACGCUCAUGCACGAAAGCGUGGGUAGCAAACAGG
rnacentral:rRNA from 1 species